CCUACGGGGGGCUGCAGUGGGGAAUAUUGGACAAUGGGGGCAACCCUGAUCCAGCCAUGCCGCGUGUGUGAAGAAGGCCCUCGGGUUGUAAAGCACUUUCAGUGAGGAAGAACGCCUGGUGGUUAAUACCCAUCAGGAAAGACAUCACUCACAGAAGAAGCACCGGCUAACUCCGUGCCAGCAGCCGCGGUAAUACUGAGGGUGCGAGCGUUAAUCGGAAUUACUGGGCGUAAAGCGCGCGUAGGUGGCUUGAUAAGCCGGUUGUGAAAGCCCCGGGCUCAACCUGGGAACGGCAUCCGGAACUGUCAAGCUAGAGUGCAGGAGAGGAAGGUAGAAUUCCCGGUGUAGCGGUGAAAUGCGUAGAGAUCGGGAGGAAUACCAGUGGCGAAGGCGGCCUUCUGGACUGACACUGACACUGAGGUGCGAAAGCGUGGGUAGCAAACAGGAUUAGAUACCCCUGUAGUC
rnacentral:rRNA from 1 species